CCUACGGGUGGCAGCAGUCGAGAAUCAUUCACAAUGGGGGAAACCCUGAUGGUGCGACGCCGCGUGGGGGAAUGAAGGUCUUCGGUUUGUAAACCCCUGUCAUGUGGGAGCAAAUUAAAAAGAUAGUACCACAAGAGGAAGAGACGGCUAACUCUGUGCCAGCAGCCGCGGUAAUACAGAGGUCUCAAGCGUUGUUCGGAAUCACUGGGCGUAAAGCGUGCGUAGGCUGUUUCGUAAGUCGUGUGUGAAAGGCGCGGGCUCAACCCGCGGACGGCACAUGAUACUGCGAGACUAGAGUAAUGGAGGGGGAACCGGAAUUCGCGGUGUAGCAGUGAAAUGCGUAGAUAUCGAGAGGAACACUCGUGGCGAAGGCGGGUUCCUGGACAUUAACUGACGCUGAGGCACGAAGGCCAGGGGAGCGAAAGGGAUUAGAUACCCGAGUAGUC
rnacentral:rRNA from 1 species